rnacentral:rRNA from 1 species
UACAGAGGGGGCAAGCGUUAUUCGGAAUUAUUGGGCGUAAAGGGCGCGUAGGUGGCUUGGCAAGUGGAAGGUGAAAUCCCUCGGCUCAACUGAGGAACUGCCUUCCAGACUGCUUUGCUUGAGUCCGGAAGAGGCGAGUGGAAUUCCCGGUGUAGCGGUGAAAUGCGCAGAUAUCGGGAGGAACACCAAUGGCGAAGGCAGCUCGCUGGGACGUGACUGACGCUGAGACGCGAAAGCGUGGGGAGCAAACAGG